UACAUAGGGUGCAAGCGUUAAUCGGAAUUACUGGGCGUAAAGCGUGCGCAGGCGGCUUUGCAAGACAGAUGUGAAAUCCCCGGGCUUAACCUGGGAACUGCAUUUGUGACUGCAUGGCUGGAGUGCGGCAGAGGGGGAUGGAAUUCCGCGUGUAGCAGUGAAAUGCGUAGAUAUGCGGAGGAACACCGAUGGCGAAGGCAAUCCCCUGGGCCUGCACUGACGCUCAUGCACGAAAGCGUGGGGAGCAAACAGG
rnacentral:rRNA from 1 species